CAGUAGCCGCGGUAAAACGUAGGGUCCGAGCGUUGUCCGGAAUUAUUGGGCGUAAAGAGCUCGUAGGCGGUCUGUCGCGUCUGCCGUGAAAUCCUCAGGCUCAACCUGAGGCGUGCGGUGGGUACGGGCAGGCUAGAGUGCGGUAGGGGAGAAUGGAACUCCUGGUGUAGCGGUGGAAUGCGCAGAUAUCAGGAAGAACACCGAUGGCGAAGGCAGUUCUCUGGGCCGUAACUGACGCUGAGGAGCGAAAGCGUGGGGAGCGAACAGGAUUAGAUACCCCCGUAGUCCCUGUCUCUUAUAC
rnacentral:rRNA from 1 species